CACCUCAUGUAGUAGGUAGGGACAUGUCUCAGGUAGGAAUGCAUCUUAUCAGGUGUGUAAGUAUUCAACGUAUUUGCACCCUAGCUCCAGGGUUAUGGAAAAAGAGGUGAAGAGAUAAGCUUGGAGAGGGCACAGUAGGGGUGGCAAUCAGCACCAAUCACGGAGUGGAGCUCCCUAACUGCACGCCCACGGUCUGAUUACCAUCCAGGUGUGGCUGCAGCUUAGCAGCUAGCAAAGUGCAAUCAUCUCUAAAAUCGGAGCCUCAGCACUGCCUGUGUUUAGAUGGCCACGUGCAAUACCGUGCGCCUGCUCUUUGCUCUCUCCUCACCCCUGGCAGUAAAGAGAUGGCAGAGCACAGGAAUCAGGGCUGCAGUCUUUUAUCCUUCAAAAUGGAGUCUCCUGGGACCAGACACAGUCUUAAAACCACCACUUGUACAAUAUGGAGUCACUGGAGUAGGACACAGCAAACUCUCAACACCAAUAAUGAAGAUUUGCCUUCUGUUUUUAAUGAAUGAGAAUCUACCCCUUGUCUGGAGUAUCCACCCUGCCUAUGAUGCCUGCACGUUAAUGACCUGGCAGCCAUCUUGGUUGGCAGCAGGUCUAUAACCACAUUCCAAGGUUUGUGUUCAAGUCAUCCUUAUUUUUCUCAAUGACGGCUUCAAGGUGCAAUGUGGUGGUGCUAGUGAGAUUAUAGUGUGUGGCUAUAAUUGUCCUUCUGUAUUAUUAUUCACUGUUGUUAAUCUCCUUACUAUGUCCAAAUCAAAAAUUAAAAUCUGAUCUCAGGCGAGAGCUAAGCAGGUAAAAAUCAUUUGCCACAUCAGUACGAGGACAGGACUUUGAAGUCCCAGAACCCAUGUAAAAGGCAGACACUUCACACUAACAUCUGCAAUCCCAGUGCUGUGACGGGAGGUCGAGGAAGGGAUAAUCCCUAGGAACUUUUGGCCCAGCCAGCCUGCAACAGAAAAUUACCAAGAGACCCUGUCUUAAACACGGUGGAAGUCAAGGACUCAAGAUUGUUUCCCUCUGACUUCAAUACAUGCAUUCUGUCACAUGUGUGCCAGCUCUCUCUCUCUCUCUCUCUCUCUCUCUCUCUCUCUCUCUCUCUCUCUCUCUCUCUCACACACACACACACACACACACACACACACACACUCACAUCAUACACACUAUUAAAUUAAAAAUAAUAAAGUCUGCGCUAUCUUUAUCUAUAUACCCACUGCCCAGGACGUUGUGCUCAACACAGAAAAAAGCUGACCAGCACAGAGAUCCUCACACAUGUGUAUAUAUUAUAUGUAUAUAUUCUUAAGCACAUAUGUAUGUACAUUCAUGUGUGUGCAUGGGUCAUGUAGUUUUAUGUGUAGUUAUGCAUUAUGUUGUAUGUAUCUACAUGUGUAUGUGCAUUCAGGUAUGCAUAUGAAUGUAUUUGUAUUUAGGUUAAUGUCUGUAUAUGUUGGUGUAUUGAUAUGAUAUACAUACAUGCAUAUAUGUGUAUAUAUUUAUGUGCACACACACAUAUACAUAUAUAUAUGGAUGAUUUUAUUGGUUUUGUGUCCUCUGCUAUUGAAAUAUCCCAGUGUAUACAUUAAUUUUCCUUUAUUCUUCUCUCGUACAUUACAUCCUGACCACAGUUUCUCCUCCCUUUACUCUUCCCAGUCCUCCCCCAUCUCCCCUCUACCCCAGAUCCACUCCUCCUCCAUUCCUCUUCAAGUAAAAAAAAAAGAGCAGGCCUCCCAGGAAUAUCAGCCUAACGUGGCAUAAUGAGUUACAAUAAGGCCAUGUUAAUUUUCUUUCUUGCACUCUGGCUCCAUGUAAUGAUAAAAUCCUAAGUAUGUAACCAUUUGCCUGCACUUCAGAUAUCCAAUUUCCUGGAUGCUUCAUAUGAAGUUGUCUGCUCAGGGAUACUCUGCUCUGACUCAGGGUUGCUGGACAGACACACCAGGCUUCUGCAGCUGGUCCAUCAUCCCUGGACUCAGCAUUUCCUGCUAUGGUUCUCCACAUGACCCUCAGCAGUAGGAUGUGUGUUGGAUCAUCCAUACUCCCAGACCUUCGAGCAAAUGAAGUCAGAGUACAACUUGUGUACCUGCAUCUUCUCUAAGAUCUGAAGUUGGAUCAGGACUUGACACAUGAUUUGGGGAUUUGGAACAAGGGUUUCAGCUUGUACUUUGCCAUAAGGUUGGGUUGGAGGCUUCCUAAGCUGUGGUAGUGUUUGGGUAUAAAUAAUGAGUUGUAAAUAUUUAGUCAAGGUCAAAGUCAUUUCUAUGAUGAAAUAGCAGCCUUCCUUGGGCAUUAUUCCAAAAGCUGUUAACUAUGUUCUGAACUUGAGGCAUCGUAAACUAAGUAUUUAUUAAAUAGUAUUUCUCCCAUGAAUCAAGACUGGAAGUGAUAAUCUUACCUUUGGAACUGGGCAGUGGUCAUCCUAAAGGGUCUAGGAUCCCACUUAGUCCCCAAAUAUAUACUUUCUUCGAGAAACAAGCAAGCAUUCACCAUGGGGGAAUAAAAAAAAAACAAAAAGAAGGAAAAACAUAUCUUCACCAAUGGUUUAGUUUCUGUCUGGUGUUCUUUUUAGCCCUGUGCAAAAUGAUGGAGGGAGUACCUUGUUGACCCUCUGGGCAUGUUCCUCCCACUGAGGCCCACUCUGCCAGGGCUUGCAUCCAGGGCCCUGCGGUGUUCUUCAGCUAGUGAGGGAUGCUUCCUAGGCUCCAUCUCCUCACAGUGCCGCUGGCACAGGUUGAGACUCCAUCUAGGCAUUCACACCAUAGAAGGUGGCUGGUGCAUUCCGAGAAAGGAGUCUGCAGGGAAGGAAUCCAUUAGGACAGAGUGCCAGGAUUCCACUUUGGUAGGGCGCUUGUAUCUGCAGAUCCCCACACCCCUGUCUCACUGCCUUGCCAUUCAUGGGUUCAAGCAUCACCCUUGUAUUCUGGAAUUAGACCGCACUUGUUAUGUUGUUUUUUUUCCUCCCUGUAUGCCUGCAAAUACGUGCAUAUGGAAGUCUAUUUAACUUUUCUUUAAUGGACUACUUUAAAAGGAUUAAGUGGAUAUGAAAGGCAGCUUACACAGGGCUUAAUUGGCCUUGCAGUCCAGGGUGCAGGAGAUGGGAGGCAGUUCUCUUCCAAGGUCAGAUCAGUGUUCUGAAAGCCAUGCUGCUAAGAAGCACUGGCUGUGGGCUACUCCCAAGUUUCAUAGUUAAGAGAAGAGGAGGCGGAUAAUAGUAGCCCAGGUGAAUAUUUGAUUUCUGUCAUCUUUAAUGCUCCUUUCCAUUCGUCUUUCACAUGCUAACAGUUUGCCAUCUGUAUUUUAAUCGCCGCUGCCCAGCCCAGAGCAGAGUUCACUGACGAGCUGUGGUGCCACUGCACAUUCUCAGGGUGACACUGACUUCUGUAGAUAAGAUAGCAAGCCCUAAAAGAGCUUUGACUGAAUAGCUUGAAAAUGCUAACCUAAAGCCACCCUGGGGCAUUGCAGGAGAGCUUUUCUGCCUGUAGAGUUGUUUUGCUGCAUGAGUGACCAACAUUUGGGACACAGGGAAGAAUUUUUAGCCCACUUUGCGUCAGUGAUGGCCUGAAAGCAGUCCUGAGACCCUUCCUUUCCGAAGUGGUUUUCACCCUGGUAGUGGGUUCACAGUCAUGUUUACCUGAAGCCUGUAUAUAAUAUUCCCUAAUUAUUUGGAGAAAGUAUUAAGUGAAAGAGGACCCAGGGAAAGGAGGUAAACAACUCAGUCUGUUCUUCAUGACUAUGGAGAGGACUAGCAGGAGAAUCACAUAAAAAAAAAACCCAAAGAGGGAGAGGUGAGCACAGACUCCUGGCUGAGAUCAUCGAGGAAAUAUGGCUUUGGUCCUAUGUGGCCAGGGAGGCAGCUCAGCCCAUCAGGAGCUGGAAAUGGGCAGCAACUCCGGAGCUUCCAGGUGUGAACAAGGCCCUGACAACACCUGGACUUCACUGCUGUGUGGCAAGAAGACAAAAUUGUGGUUCAAAAUGAAAAAUUUGGAGAAAAGAUAUGGAGGUCAUUUCUGCAGUGUUUUAAAUCAAGAAUAGCAUAGGUCUUGUGUUUUCAGGAAUUCUGAGAGUGUAGUUCCUGAAAACACACAAUGUCUUGCAGUCACUUUCCAUUACAGUCUUAAUUGUGGGUAUUUAUCAUGCUCCCAAGUUCCAAAUGUUUUAGCUCAGAAAAGUCACAGUGUCUGGAACUAUCUUUUUGUUUUCAUGUAUUUCAAUUUUAAUAUUGGCCCUUCAAUUGGAAAUGCUGAAAUGACAGUGACCGACAGCUGAAGAUAAAUACAGAUGAUAAAAAAAACAAAGCCUUCAUAUUAAAAAUAACUUAAGGUAUUAGUAUGAGCCUACCUGUAAAACUUAUAAAAUAUAUGAAGAAGGCCUCGAUGGUCUUCUUGUGAGACUCCUAACAGUGAGAGCAGGGGCUGUCUCUGACUCUGAUGCCUGCUCUUUGGACCCAUUUCUCCUACUGGAUUGCCUCAUCCAGACUUAGUAGAAGAGAAGGAGCCCAUUCUCACUGAAACUUGAUAUACCUUGGCUGGCUGAUAUCCAUGGGAGGCCCACCCAUAUCUGAAGAAAAACAGUGGAGGAAGAAUGGAUGUGGGGGAGUUGGGAAGAGGAGAGGGAGGGGAAACUUUGGUUGGGAUAUUAAAAAAAAACAACAAAAACCUUAUAAAAUAUGAUGUUUUAAUAUUGUUUUAUCAAAACUACACAUUUGCUUGGACUUACAGAUCAGGCAAUUUCAAAAGGUUUGAGUAAAACAGUGGUCAUCCAUUCAUCCAUCCAUCCUUCUAUCCAUCCAUCCUUCUAUCUAUCCAUCCAUCCAUCUAUUCAUCCAUACAUACAUACAUCCUUCCACCCAUCCAUCCUUCCACCCAUCCAUCCUUCCAUCCAUCCAUCCUUCCAUUCAUCCAUCCUUCUAUCCAUCCUUCCAUCCAUCCAUCCUUCCUUCCAUCUAUCCACCCAUCCAUCCAUCAAUCCUUCCAUCUAUCCAUCCUUCCAUCCAUCCAUCCUUCCAUCCCUCCAUCAUCCAUUCAUCCUUCCAUCCCUCCAUCCAUUCAUCCCACCCAUCGCAUCUAUCCAUCUGAAUCUCCAAAGCCCUCCUCUCUCAGCCCUUAUUCUAACAUAUGCCUCUGUAGUGCCGAGUGGUUCCACACAUUGCUGUUUCUGUCUGUGCAUGUGUAUAUCUGUGCAUGCAUGUAUAUGUAUGUGUGCACAUAUGUAUGUGUGUGUAUAUGUAUGUUUAUAUGUGCAUAUGUGUGCAUGUGUGUGUUUAUGUGUAGGGAAGCCAGAGGUCAAUAUUGGAUGUCUUCCUCAGUUACUGUUCUCAUCUUUAAAUUUUUUUUUAAAUUUUUUUAUUUUUAUU